AAGGAGACUGGUAGGAAGUGGGAAAGAUUCAUGACAUGUUCAAGCUGAACCUGCAAAUAAUAAGCUUUAUAUCUUUCCUGGAGGCUUUCUCAACUGGGUAACCCCCUCAAUUUGCGUCAUGGAUCAACAGGUUGGACAAAUAAUUACUUUAGAUAUUUCCUGCAAAGACAUGAAACAAGCUUCCUGAAAGAAAGUCUCCCUCGUUGUUUCCACAUUGACAGGUGGCCUCAUCACUCCGAGCAUUACAGACCACCUUGAAGAUAUCAGCGCCAGUGGCCUUUGAAGUAAGAAUAAUCAACAAGCCAUUUGAUACUCGAUCAGAUGAAAUAGCCUUGUCAGAAAAGGCCAGCUCUCAGCAAAACUCAAGGUGGCUAAUGAAAGUAAGAUGAAAUGCAAAGGACUGAAAGCAGAC